UACGUAGGGGGCAAGCGUUGUCCGGAUUUAUUGGGCGUAAAGAGCUUGUAGGCGGUCUGUCGCGUCUGCUGUGAAAAUCCGGGGCUCAACCCCGGACUUGCAGUGGGUACGGGGCAGACUAGAGUGUGGUAGGGGAGACUGGAAUUCCUGGUGUAGCGGUGAAAUGCGCAGAUAUCAGGAGGAACACCGAUGGCGAAGGCAGGUCUCUGGGCCACUACUGACGCUGAGAAGCGAAAAGCAUGGGGGAGCGAACAGG
rnacentral:rRNA from 1 species